GUAGCAGGAAGUGCUUGCACUUUGCUGACGAGUGGCGGACGGGUGAGUAAUACUUAGGAACAUGCCUUUGUGUGGGGGAUAACCAUUGGAAACGAUGGCUAAUACCGCAUAAUGUCUUUGGACCAAAGAGGGCUUUCGGGCUCUCGCGCAAAGAGUGGCCUAAGUGAGAUUAGCUUGUUGGUGAGGUAAAGGCUCACCAAGGCGACGAUCUCUAGCUGUUCUGAGAGGAAGAUCAGCCACACUGGGACUGAGACACGGCCCAGACUCCUACGGGAGGCAGCAGUGGGGAAUAUUGCACAAUGGGGGCAACCCUGAUGCAGCCAUGCCGCGUGUGUGAAGAAGGCCUUCGGGUUGUAAAGCACUUUCAGUUGUGAGGAAAGGUUGGUGGUUAAUACCCAUCAGCUGUGACGUUAGCAACAGAAGAAGCACCGGCUAACUCCGUGCCAGCAGCCGCGGUAAUACGGAGGGUGCGAGCGUUAAUCGGAAUUACUGGGCGUAAAGCGCACGCAGGCGGUUAUAUAAGCUAGAUGUGAAAGCCCCGGGCUCAACCUGGGAAUAGCAUUUAGAACUGUAUGACUAGAGUCUUGGAGAGGGGGGUGGAAUUCCAGGUGUAGCGGUG
rnacentral:rRNA from 1 species